rnacentral:rRNA from 1 species
AUUGAACGCUGGCGGAAUGCUUUACACAUGCAAGUCGAACGGUAACGCGGGGCAACCUGGCGACGAGUGGCGAACGGGUGAGUAAUGCAUCGGAACGUAUCCGAUAGUGGGGGAUAGCUCGGCGAAAGCCGGAUUAAUACCGCAUACGAUCUACGGAUGAAAGCGGGGGCUCGCAAGACCUCGCGCUGACGGAGCGGCCGAUGUCAGAUUAGGUUGUUGGCGGGGUAAAAGCCUACCAAGCCUGCGAUCUGUAGCUGGUCUGAGAGGGCGACCAGCCACACUGGGACUGAGACACGGCCCAGACUCCUACGGGAGGCAGCAGUGGGGAAUUUUGGACAAUGGGCGCAAGCCUGAUCCAGCCAUGCCGCGUGCGGGAAGAAGGCCUCGGUGUAACG